GUGGCUGUAGUUUAGUGGUGAGAAUUCCACGUUGUGGCCGUGGAGACCUGCGCUCGAAUCCCAGCAGCCACA
rnacentral:tRNA from 1 species